ACCAGCCUCCCCUCCCCCUGCCGCCUCUCUCUGUGGGCUAGCAGCUACACCUCCAGGCUCCAGCAUCCCAUGCCACAACCCCACCUCCAUCGCCCGCCGAGAAACUCGUCGAUGUUGGCGGGGUCGACAUGAAGACAUCCACGAGCACCUCCCCGUCCUCCUCCCCUCCGCCAGACAUCUCCCCGGUGCAGUCGACUGUGACCGUCGGGCGGGGUUGUAGAGGAAGAGGUCUUGCGACUUGAGCUUGUAGUUGCUUACGGAGCGGCGGCAUGUGGUGGUGCAGUGGUGCGACGUGGUGGCUUCUAGCGACCGAGCAUGUUCUGCUCUGGAGGUGAGUUCCUUGCCGCAGGUGGAGCUCCGGCGGGCGAGCCACUGCAGCAGCGGCGAGCUCUUCUUCCCCGCCCCUCGACGCCCGAUCUACAGCGCGCAUGAAGGAGGCGACCCUGCGACCGGUGGACUUGCAGGUUCUCUCUAACCCUACCUCCCUCCCUCUUCCCCUCUCUCAAAGGAACUCUGCAGGGAGGAGAGCAGGUCGCCACUCGAUCUGGUGUGGUACCUCGCCCCCCUCAAGGCUGAGGUAAAAGUGGAGGAACCCUAGAAAAUCUCAUCUUUGUUUCUGCAGAUCCAUUUGUAUAUUUUCCUACAAGGUGUUUGGUGAAAGUCCUUGCUGAUUAAGAUUAUUGUAUGAACUAUUUAAGGAAAAGCUGAUGUACCAGGUGGUGGCUUUCAGAUUUGAAAGAGCGAGAAGCGUUGUAGCUAGGUUGUUUGGUGAAGAUGAGGUGACUCUCACAAUGCGUCUGUUGUGCUUGAGGUUGGGUUGUAUCUUUUCCCUUGCCUGUGACCACUGGCCUCAUCUUGCCAAUGCCGCCAUCCUUUCCCACUUGGUUGGAGAAAAUGUCAUGAGAUUUAUCGUGCUUGAGAGGUGGAGAUGGAAAUGAAGUCGUUUUUACCAGUGCAUGUGACAGGAGUAAGAGAAGAGCGAAGCUGGAAAAUGGGUAAGAACAUAUGUCUGCAUCCCUGUCAUUUCAGAUUUAAACACUUCACUGGAAGAACCAUCUGUCUACCUGGUGGCUUCCUCAAAAUGAUAUGGCCAUUGCCGCACCAAAUUAUCCACGUGCAUGUCUACGUGACUUACAUCCAGUUUAAUCCUGUCAAUGAGAAGUGGGUUGAUGUGUUGUCCAAAUUGAAUGUCGAUGAUGAGUGGGCAGAGGAGUAACACAUGAUGAAAAUUCCAAUGGCUAACAGAAGAUACAAGCAUCAGGGGCCGUGAAGCCCAUGAGGCGUGAGCGGUUUGGGACGUCGACGGCAGCGAGGACGCCCGGGCGGCCGGUGUGGCAGAGGAUGAUACUGAUGGGGAUGCGGUGUGAGCUGCCGCGGUUCAGCGGGCUCAUAUUGUACGAUGAGCAAGGCCGACGCCUCCAUCUGGGCACUCUGGGCAGAAGAAACCAUCUCCAGUGAUGUUGCAGGGUUGUUUGGCCAGAGCCGGAAACGAACAUUGCGGAGGUGAGCAGCAAAAAAUUGUUGGCGCCCAGGAGCGGAGCUGUGUGCUGGAGAUCAAGGGGACACUCGCGUGAUGGGCAGCGAUGAAGAAGAUUGAGAAGUAGCUCCUAGGUGCUCCUGGGCAGCGAGGAAGAGGAUCGAACGAAGUUGUGCGUGCUGGAGAUCCUGGCGACUAGGGAUCGAGGGGACCAAGGGAUUGAGGGUAGCGACGACCUGGGGAGGAGGAGAAGCUGCUCCCAGGUGUGGAAGCCAUGAAGAGCACUGGCGACCUGGGGAGGGCGAGAAGCGGCGACAAUGUGGGGACUCCUUUUCAGUGCUCCCCCUGGGCGAGGGAUCGUGGAGGCCUGAGCGCGAGGUGGAGUCACCGGCGGAGGUGGAGGGCGAUCAAAAUCUAAGAAGAGUGAUUCUAAAUCUAGGAAGAUACCGAUUCUAAAUAUAGGUGUGAGAUUUACCGCGUAAGAGUAGCAAGAAAACCUAGAACUUUGAAUCACGCGGAUGUAUAACAAUGCUUUUUUGUUACUAUGUUCGGUAUUAUCAUGUUUUAGUACAUUAUGAUAUUCCGGAUUUGUUUUAA